rnacentral:rRNA from 1 species
UGAAUACGAGACGCUAAGGCGUCGAAGUAGUGUAUGUCAUACUUCCAAGGAAAGCUUGCACUGUCAUAGAUAAAAAACGCCUGUACCAUAACCGACACAGGUGGGUAGGUAGAGUAUACUAAGGGGGCGCGAGAUAACUCUCUCUAAGGAACUCGGCAAAAUAACUCCGUAACUUCGGGAGAAGGAGUGCCUUAUUCGUAAGGUUGCAAUAACAAGAUCCAAGCAACUGUUUAUCAAAAACACAGGUCUCCGCUAAGUCGUAAGACGAUGUAUGGGGGCUGACGCCUGCCCAGUGCCAGAAGGUUAAAGAAGUUGGUUAGCAAUUGCGAAGCUGAUAACUGAAGCCCUGGUGAACGGCGGCCGUAACAAUAACGGUCCUAAGGUAGCGAAAUUCCUUGUCGGGUAAGUUCCGACCCGCACGAAAGGCGUAAUGAUUUGGAUACUGUCUCGGAGAGGGGCUCGGUGAAAUAGACUUGUCUGUGAAGAUGCGGACUACCUGCACCAGGACAGAAAGACCCUAUGAAGCUUUACUGUAACUUGAAAUUGAAAUUGGACUUUAUUCGCGCAGUAUAGGUGGGAGGCGUUGAUUAUAAUCUUGUGGGAUUAUUGGAGCCAUCAGUGAGAUACCACUCUUGUAAUGUUAGAUUUCUAACUUUGAAUCAUUAUCUGGUCAAAGAACAGUUUCAGGCGGGCAGUUUGACUGGGGCGGUCGCCUCCUAAACGGUAACGGAGGCGUACAAAGGUUUCCUCUGAACGGUUAGAAAUCGUAUCUAGAGUGUAAAGGCAUAAGGAAGCUUGACUGUGAGACCUACAAGUCGAGCAGGGACGAAAGUCGGUCUUAGUGAUCUGACGGUACUGAGUGGAAAGGCCGUCACUCAACGGAUAAAAGUUACUCUAGGAUAACAGGCUGAUCUCCCCCAAGAGUUCACAUCGACGGGGAGGUUUGGCACCUCGAUGUCGGCUCAUCGCAUCCUGGGGCGGUAGUACGUCCCAAGGGUUGGGCUGUUCGCCCAUGAAAGCGGUACGCGAGCUGGGUUCAGAACGUCGUGAGACAGUUCGGUCCAUAUCCGGUGUAGGCGUUAGAAUAUUGAGAGGAGCCUUCUUUAGUACGAGAGGACCGAGAAGGACAUACCUCUGGUGUACCAGUUAUCGUGCCAACGGUAAACGCUGGGUAGCUAUGUAUGGAGUGGAUAACCGCUGAAAGCAUCUAAGUGGGAAGCCCACCUCAAGAUAAGUAUUCUCA